rnacentral:rRNA from 1 species
GUGGGGAAUAUUGGACAAUGGGCGAAAGCCUGACCCAGCCACGCCGCGUGAGUGAUGAAGGCCUUCGGGUUGUAAAGCUCUGUGGGGAGGGAAGAAAAAGCGGGAGAGUAACUGCUCUCGUGUUGACGGUACCUCCUUAGCAAGCACCGGCUAACUCUGUGCCAGCAGCCGCGGUAAUACAGAGGGUGCAAACGUUGCUCGGAAUUACUGGGCGUAAAGCGCGUGUAGGCUGACAUGCAAGUCGGGUGUGAAAUCCCAGGGCUCAACCUUGGAACUGCACUCGAAACUGCACGGCUUGAGUACUGGAGAGGGAAGCGGAAUUCCGGGUGUAGAGGUGAAAUUCGUAGAUAUCCGGAGGAACACCAGUGGCGAAGGCGGCUUCCUGGACAGUAACUGACGCUGAGACGCGAAAGCGUGGGGAGCAAACAGGAUUAGAUACCCGUGUAGUCC